GCAAAUGGUUAAUGUGCUCGGCUGCUAACCGAGAGGUUGGAGGUUCAAGUCCACC
rnacentral:tRNA from 1 species